CAGAGGAGAACCCUGCAGAACCCGGCUCAGAGGAGAACCCUGCAGAACCCGGCUCAGAGCAGAACCCUCUAGAACCCGGCUCAGAGCAGAACCCUGUAGAACCCGGCUCAGAGCAGAACCCUCUAGAACCCGGCUCAGGGCAGACCUGGAGAACCGGGCUCAGAGC